CGAGUCCUGAUGUGUUCGACGUUCAAUCUAUCUGUUUUGACCGAACAUUUCUAACUAGGGAGUUCACGUUUUGAAGUGGCGUACAUGCCUUCACUGAAAGGACGUACUAACGCUUCGAAUAGGACACCCACCUGCUUGAGUGCGGGUUCAAAACGUUAGUCUCUCAAGCGACGGCACGAUUGGGACUCGG
rnacentral:other from 1 species